CCUCUCUUAGUAUAAAUGAGUAUAUUUAUUUUCCAAAUAAAAGGUAGAAUUCUAGAGGGGA
rnacentral:tRNA from 1 species